AAUUUUUCAGUAGAAUUUCAUGAAAACAAAAACACACACAAAAACUAAAAUUUCCACAAAAACUAAUUAUGAACGGCCUGAGAUGGAGGGGUUUUAGUCGGUAGGUCCCAGGACUUCUUUCUCGGGAAUCCGACACUACCCAGUCGUAUGGACCGCUGGGUGUCUUUUGAAGAUUUCCCCUCUUCCAUGAAA
rfam:Agrilus planipennis Contig59981, whole genome shotgun sequence.